UACAGAGGGGGCAAGCGUUAUUCGGAAUUAUUGGGCGUAAAGGGCGCGUAGGCGGCCUGGCAAGUGGAUGGUGAAAUCCCUCGGCUUAACCGAGGAACUGCCAUCCAGACUGCUUGGCUUGAGACCGGGAGAGGUGAGUGGAAUUCCCAGUGUAGCGGUGAAAUGCGUAGAUAUUGGGAGGAACACCAGUGGCGAAGGCGGCUCACUGGCCCGGUACUGACGCUGAAAUACGAAAGCGUGGGGAGCAAACAGG
rnacentral:rRNA from 1 species